ACAGGCAGCACCAUCUGGCCUGAGGUCACAAGUACAAUUCAAUGUGGAGGUUCUCUGUCAAGAGCUUACAGCUAACAUAGUGAAAUUAGAAAAGAUACAAAAUAACUUACAGAAGUUGCUUGAGAAUGGUGACUGAUCGACCAGAUUGCUUGGGCCAUCGGAAUACCUCAUGUUUCCCUUUGAAGAAGGUGCUUCCUGAGGCGUUUUGUUUGAGUGCACCCUGCUGGUCAGAGGUGCAAGCAGAUGAGAAUCCAGACAUUGCAUGUGGAGGUCUCCAGCUCAGGAAAGUGAGGAGGGAAAUAAUUUUGGUUCUUGUGCAAUAAAAGUUGACCUUGACUCUCUGAGGAAGAUUUUGCUGCUUUUGCCUGAAGAAAACAGACCCAUCUCUGGAGGUCUCAGGAAGGGCCCAGCGAACACACUCUCUUGGAUAAUUACCACGAUGGCGUCAGCAAACACUCCACCCUGUGCCUUUUUAGUCCUUCCCGCCCUCCUGCCUCUCCCUUACACCCCUCUUAACGACUUUCAAACUAAAGGAUACAUCAUAUACUGACAAACUCAAUGUGGUCCUUUCAAGAAUUAGCCAUGAGUCUCAAAAAGGCAAUAAAUGGCUCUAAGUGGACAGGUUUGCUUCAAACAAGUAACAUCUACAUUUUGUCUUUUUUUUUUCAGUUCUCCUGUUAUGUUCUGGUUGAAAUCACCUGUGUGUCUUAAUUUCUCAAUUCCUUUUUGGCAAGAAUAUCAAGCAAGGUGAAUUUAACAUUAUGUUUAUGUUUUGUUUUGUUGCUGUAACUAAUAGUUAAUUGGACUGAUUCUUACCCAGCCCUGGUCAAGAAUCUGUGAGGCAUGUGACUGAAGUACUAAAUUAAACUUAUUUUGAAACCAAACCUAAUUUUUAAGCCAAAAGGUGUAAUAGUGAUUUAAUACAGGAUGAAAAACACUGAAUUUUUAAGACUGUAGGUGGACUAUGUUAGUAGUUUUCAAGCAGGAUGUCUGUAUUCAGCAUUCAAUAAUGCUAAAAUCCCUUUCAGCAUGAAAUUUGUAUGUUUUUAUCCUUUGCUGACUAAAAUAAAAUAACUGGUGGUUUGCUAACUAUUUACCAUAUGGGUUGGCUGGUUUUUAUUAAUAAUUGUUUAGGGUAUCAUAAGAUCUGUAAGUACAAAGGAUAUUCUGUUUCUAUCUGCAAUGCAUUUGAUAAUCAUUUCUAUGAAAUGUAUUUUAUUUAAUCAGAUAAGCUAAUAAGCGAAUUGGUUACAUCGUUUGUAUCUGUUGGCCUAGUGGACAGCUGUGCCUGGUGCACCUCUGGCUUUUAAUAAAUACUCAUUG
rnacentral:lncRNA from 1 species